GACGUAGGGCGCGAGCGUUUGUCCGGAUUUAUUGGGCGUAAAGAGCUCGUAGGCGGCUUGUCGCGUCGGCUGUGAAAACCCGCGGCUCAACUGUGGGCGGGCAGCUGAUACGGGCAGGCUGGAGUUCGGUAGGGGAGACUGGAAUUCCUGGUGUGAGCGGUGAAAUGCGCAGAUAUCAGGAGGAACACCGGUGGCGAAGGCGGGUCUCUGGGCCGAUACUGACGCUGAGGAGCGAAAAGCGUGGGGGAGCGAACAGG
rnacentral:rRNA from 1 species